GCAAGUCGAGCGAUCUCUUCGGAGAGAGCGGCGGACGGGUGAGUAACGCGUGGGUAACCUGCCCUGUACACACGGAUAACAUACCGAAAGGUAUACUAAUACGGGAUAACAUACGAAAGUCGCAUGGCUUUUGUAUCAAAGCUCCGGCGGUACAGGAUGGACCCGCGUCUGAUUAGCUAGUUGGUAAGGUAAUGGCUUACCAAGGCAACGAUCAGUAGCCGACCUGAGAGGGUGAUCGGCCACACUGGAACUGAGACACGGUCCAGACUCCUACGGGAGGCAGCAGUGGGGAAUAUUGCACAAUGGGCGAAAGCCUGAUGCAGCAACGCCGCGUGAGCGAUGAAGGCCUUCGGGUCGUAAAGCUCUGUCCUCAAGGAAGAUAAUGACGGUACUUGAGGAGGAAGCCCCGGCUAACUACGUGCCAGCAGCCGCGGUAAUACGUAGGGGGCUAGCGUUAUCCGGAAUUACUGGGCGUAAAGGGUGCGUAGGUGGUUUUUUAAGUCAGAAGUGAAAGGCUACGGCUCAACCGUAGUAAGCUUUUGAAACUAGAGAACUUGAGUGCAGGAGAGGAGAGUAGAAUUCCUAGUGUAGCGGUGAAAUGCGUAGAUAUUAGGAGGAAUACCAGUAGCGAAGGCGGCUCUCUGGACUGUAACUGACACUGAGGCACGAAAGCGUGGGGGAGCAAACAGGAUUAGAUACCCUGGUAGUCCACGCCGUAAACGAUGAGUACUAGGUGUCGGGGGUUACCCCCCUCGGUGCCGCAGCUAACGCAUUAAGUACUCCGCCUGGAAGUACGCUCGCAAGAGUGAAACUCAAGGAAUUGACGGGGACCCGCACAAGUAGC
rnacentral:rRNA from 1 species